AGAGUUUGAUCCUGGCUCAGAACGAACGCUGGCGGCACGCCUCAUACAUGCAAGUCGAGCGCGAAAUCACUUUCGGGUGACGUAGAGCGGCGAACGGGUGAGUAACAGGUGGGUAAUCUGCCUCCUGGCGGGGGACAACAGCUGGAAACGGCUGCUAAUACCGCAUGUGGUUGUAUGCUUAUGGUGUACAAAGAAAGGCGCUUCACGGCGCCACCAGGAGAUGAGCCCGCCCCCCAUUAGCUAGUUGGUGAGAUAACAGCUCACCAAGGCAUCGAUGGGUAGCCGAGCUGAGAGGUUGAUCGGCCACACUGGAACUGAGACACGGUCCAGACACCUACGGGUGGCAGCAGUAGGGAAUAUUGCGCAAUGGGCGAAAGCCUGACGCAGCGAUGCCGCGUGAGUGACGAAGGUCUUCGGAUUGUAAAGCUCUUUUCUGAGGGAAGAAUAGGCCUGGUAGGAAAUGACUGGGUUCUGACGGUACCUCAGGAAUAAGGAACGGCUAACUCCGUGCCAGCAGCCGCGGUAAUACGGAGGUUCCAAGCGUUGUUCGGAAUUACUGGGCGUAAAGGGAGCGCAGGCGGACGGGUCAGUUUAAAGUGGAAUCCCAGGGCUCAACCCUGGACGUGCUUUGGAUACUGCCUGUCUUGAGUUCGUGAGAGGAAAGUGGAAUUCAGGGUGUAGCGGUGAAAUGCUUAGAUAUCCUGAGGAACACCAGUGGCGAAAGCGACUUUCUGGCACGAAACUGACGCUGAGGCUCGAAAGCAUGGGUAGCGAACGGGAUUAGAUACCCCGGUAGUCCAUGCCGUAAACGUUGUGUACUAGGUGCAGGAGGUAUCGACCCCUUCUGUGCCGAAGCUAACGCAUUAAGUACACCGCCUGGGGAGUACGCGCGCAAGCGUGAAACUCAAAGGAAUUGACGGGGGCCCGCACAAGCGGUGGAGCAUGUGGUUUAAUUCGAGGCAACGCGAAGAACCUUACCCAGGCUUGACAUCCCGGGACCGCCUGUGAAAGCAGGUUUUCCCUUCGGGGACCCGGAGACAGGUGUUGCAUGGCUGUCGUCAGCUCGUGUCGUGAGGUGUUGGGUUAAGUCCCGCAACGAGCGCAACCCCUGUCCUUAGUUACCAGCGCGUAAUGGCGGGAACUCUAAGGAGACUGCCGGUGAUAAACCGGACGAAGGUGGGGACGACGUCAAGUCAUCAUGGCCCUUACGCCUGGGGCUACACACGUGCUACAAUGGCCGGUACAGUGGGUCGCAAUACCGCGAGGUGGAGCUAAUCCAGAAAAGCCGGUCUCAGUUCGGAUUGGAGUCUGCAACUCGACUCCAUGAAGUCGGAAUCGCUAGUAAUCGCGCAUCAGCUACGGCGCGGUGAAUACGUUCCCGGGCCUUGUACACACCGCCCGUCACAUGACCCGAGUCGGUUGCACCCGAAGUCACUGGCCCAACCCGCAAGGGAGGGAGGUGCCGAAGGUGUGAUUGGUGAGGGGGAUGAAGUCGUAACAAGGUAGCCGUAUCGGAAGGUGCGGAUGGAUCACCUCCUU
rnacentral:rRNA from 1 species